rnacentral:rRNA from 1 species
ACGAACGCUGGCGGCACGCUUAACACAUGCAAGUCGAACGAGAGAAGAGAAGCUUGCUUUUCUGAUCUAGUGGCGGACGGGUGAGUAACACGUGAGCAAUCUGCCUUUCAGAGGGGGAUACCGAUUGGAAACGAUCGUUAAUACCGCAUAACAUAAUUGAACCGCAUGAUUUGAUUAUCAAAGAUUUAUCGCUGAAAGAUGAGCUCGCGUCUGAUUAGCUAGUUGGUAAGGUAACGGCUUACCAAGGCGACGAUCAGUAGCCGGACUGAGAGGUUGAUCGGCCACAUUGGGACUGAGACACGGCCCAGACUCCUACGGGAGGCAGCAGUGGGGAAUAUUGCACAAUGGAGGAAACUCUGAUGCAGCGAUGCCGCGUGAGGGAAGAAGGUUUUAGGAUUGUAAACCUCUGUCUUCAGGGACGAAAAAAGACGGUACCUGAGGAGGAAGCUCCGGCUAACUACGUGCCAGCAGCCGCGGUAAUACGUAGGGAGCGAGCGUUGUCCGGAAUUACUGGGUGUAAAGGGAGCGUAGGCGGGAUCGCAAGUCAGAUGUGAAAACUAUGGGCUUAACCCAUAAACUGCAUUUGAAACUGUGGUUCUUGAGUGAAGUAGAGGUAAGCGGAAUUCCUAGUGUAGCGGUGAAAUGCGUAGAUAUUAGGAGGAACAUCAGUGGCGAAGGCGGCUUACUGGGCUUUAACUGACGCUGAGGCUCGAAAGCGUGGGGAGCAAACAGGAUUAGAUACCCUGGUAGUCCACGCCGUAAACGAUGAGUGCUAAGUGUUGGAGGGUUUCCGCCCUUCAGUGCUGCAGCUAACGCAUUAAGCACUCCGCCUGGGGAGUACGACCGCAAGGUUGAAACUCAAAGGAAUUGACGGGGGCCCGCACAAGCAGUGGAGUAUGUGGAUUAAUUCGAAGCAACGCGAAGAACCUUACCAGGUCUUGACAUCGUAUGCAUAGCUCAGAGAUGAGUGAAAUCUCUUCGGAGACAUAUAGACAGGUGGUGCAUGGUUGUCGUCAGCUCGUGUCGUGAGAUGUUGGGUUAAGUCCCGCAACGAGCGCAACCCUUACUGUUAGUUGCUACGCAAGAGCACUCUAGCAGGACUGCCGUUGACAAAACGGAGGAAGGUGGGGAUGACGUCAAAUCAUCAUGCCCCUUAUGACCUGGGCCUCACACGUACUACAAUGGCUGUCAACAGAGGGAAGCAAAGCCGCGAGGUGGAGCAAACCCCUAAAAGCAGUCUUAGUUCGGAUUGUAGGCUGCAACCCGCCUACAUGAAGUCGGAAUUGCUAGUAAUCGCAGAUCAGCAUGCUGCGGUGAAUACGUUCCCGGGCCUUGUACACACCGCCCGUCACGCCAUGGGAGUCGGUAACACCCGAAGCCUGUAGUCUAACCGCAAGGAGGACGCAGUCGAAGGUGGGAUUGAUGACUGGGGUG